rnacentral:rRNA from 1 species
UGGGGAAUAUUGGACAAUGGGCGAAAGCCUGAUCCAGCCAUGCCGCGUGUGUGAAGAAGGUCUUCGGAUUGUAAAGCACUUUAAGUUGGGAGGAAGGGCAGUAAGCGAAUACCUUGCUGUUUUGACGUUACCGACAGAAUAAGCACCGGCUAACUCUGUGCCAGCAGCCGCGGUAAUACAGAGGGUGCAAGCGUUAAUCGGGAUUACUGGGCGUAAAGCGCGCGUAGGUGGUUCGUUAAGUUGAAUGUGAAAGCCCCGGGCUCAACCUGGGAACUGCAUCCAAAACUGGCGAGCUAGAGUAGGGCAGAGGGUGGUGGAAUUUCCUGUGUAGCGGUGAAAUGCGUAGAUAUAGGAAGGAACACCAGUGGCGAAGGCGACCACCUGGGCUCAUACUGACACUGAGGUGCGAAAGCGUGGGGAGCAAACAGG